AUUGAACGCUGGCGGCAGGCCUAACACAUGCAAGUCGAGCGGAUGAAGGGAGCUUGCUCCUGGCUUCAGCGGCGGACGGGUGAGUAAUGCCUAGGAAUCUGCCUGGUAGUGGGGGAUAACGUCCGGAAACGGGCGCUAAUACCGCAUACGUCCUGAGGGAGAAAGUGGGGGAUCUUCGGACCUCACGCUAUCAGAUGAGCCUAGGUCGGAUUAGCUAGUUGGUGGGGUAAAGGCCUACCAAGGCGACGAUCCGUAACUGGUCUGAGAGGAUGAUCAGUCACACUGGAACUGAGACACGGUCCAGACUCCUACGGGAGGCAGCAGUGGGGAAUAGUGGACAAUGGGCGAAAGCCUGAUCCAGCCAUGCCGCGUGUGUGAAGAAGGUCUUCGGAUUGUAAAGCACUUUAAGUGGGGAGGAAGGGCAGUAAGUUAAUACCUUGCUGUUUUGACGUUACCAACAGAAUAAGCACCGGCUAACUUCGUG
rnacentral:rRNA from 1 species